rnacentral:lncRNA from 10 species
AGACCUGCGACUGGCCCAGUCGCCCCUGGGGCCCUUUGCCACUCCCUUGGCAAGGAGAGCCGAGACCUCAGUUCCCGGCGGCUCUUGCGGGGCACAGGUGAGCCCUGGCUGCGCGCGCGGCCCCUCCUCCCCGGCGCCUCCCAGCCAGGGCCCCAGCCCCUAUGAUGAAAGCGAAGUGCACGACUCCUUCCAGCAGCUCAUCCAGGAGCAGAGCCAGUGCACGGCCCAGGAGGGGCUGGAGCUGCAGCAGAGAGAGCGGGAGGUGACAGGAAGUAGCCAGCAGACACUCUGGCGGCCCGAGGGCACCCAGAGCACGGCCACACUCCGCAUCCUGGCCAGCAUGCCCAGCCGCACCAUUGGUGAGUGGGACCCUCAGCCUCGGCCUCGGCCCCGGCCCCGAGUUGACCCCAGUCCCUGGGGCUGGGCUGGGCUUCCUGCCAGGCAUCUCCCUGGGUAGUGGCUGCUCCCGUAGCUCAGAGCCAGGCCCAGGGCGGGCUCCUAGCCCAUCCCAUCUGCUGCCUGGGGGCCCAGCACAGCCCCAUGUGGCCCUCGCUGGGCUCCAAAAAUGACU